rnacentral:rRNA from 1 species
AAUGGGCGAAAGCCUGACGGAGCAACGCCGCGUGAGGGAUGAAGGCCUCUGGGCUGUAAACCUCUUUUAUCAAGGAAGAAGAUCUGACGGUACUUGAUGAAUAAGCCACGGCUAAUUCCGUGCCAGCAGCCGCGGUAGUACGGGAGUGGCAAGCGUUAUCCGGAAUUAUUGGGCGUAAAGCGUCCGCAGGCGGCCUUUCAAGUCUGCUGUUAAAAAGUGGAGCUUAACUCCAUCAUGGCAGUGGAAACUGUUGGGCUUGAGUGUGGUAGGGGCAGAGGGAAUUCCCGGUGUAGCGGUGAAAUGCGUAGAUAUCGGGAAGAACACCAGUGGCGAAGGCGCUCUGCUGGGCCAUCACUGACGCUCAUGGACGAAAGCCAGGGGAGCGAAAGGGAUU